AUUGAACGCUGGCGGAAUGCUUUACACAUGCAAGUCGAACGGCAGCACGGGGGCAACCCUGGUGGCGAGUGGCGAACGGGUGAGUAAUAUAUCGGAACGUGCCCAGUCGUGGGGGAUAACGUAGCGAAAGUUACGCUAAUACCGCAUACGAUCUACGGAUGAAAGCGGGGGAUCGCAAGACCUCGCGCGAUUGGAGCGGCCGAUAUCAGAUUAGGUAGUUGGUGGGGUAAAGGCUCACCAAGCCAACGAUCUGUAGCUGGUCUGAGAGGACGACCAGCCACACUGGGACUGAGACACGGCCCAGACUCCUACGGGAGGCAGCAGUGGGGAAUUUUGGACAAUGGGCGCAAGCCUGAUCCAGCCAUUCCGCGUGCAGGACGAAGGCCUUCGGGUUGUAAACUGCUUUUGUACGGAACGAAAAAGCCUUGGCUAAUACCCAGGGUCCAUGACGGUACCGUAAGAAUAAGCACCGGCUAACUACGUGCCAGCAGCCGCGGUAA
rnacentral:rRNA from 1 species